UUGAGAAUGAAUGGGUUCUACCAUUGUAGUGCACUGAGAUGAGGAAGAUAAACCAGGUAAGCCCCCAGGAAGUGAGGUAUCCCCAGUAAAGAGGUAUCCACUUCCUUUUAGCAGUGGAAAAAAGACUUUCCUCUGCAAGUUGGAGCUUGUCUGCUGGGAAGGCAAGAGCACUGGAAAUUUAGCUGGUCCCUUACUGGUAAAAAGGGGGGUUGCUGGUCGGCAGAAGAAAAGAAAAGAAAAGAAAAGACAUGCUGGAGGGGACAAGAGGGAGUAAGAAUGCUGAUAGGAAAAGGAGGCUAUACCACAGCCUACAAAAAGGGUUGUUGCACAGUGAUUUUCUGUAUUGGAUGAUGUCUUUUGAAAUGAUCUGUCAGUAUGCGGAUCAUUGCUUACACAGCCUGGAAAAUCUCAGCUAUGCCAGCUAAAAAUCUCCUGAUUUCCUUGGUAUUGUGAAGGCCUCACAGCUCUCUCAAGAUUUUCCAGAAGUGCAUGGAGAUGAGAGGAGAUGGAUACAAGCUAUUGCCACACUGAGUAGAAGACAUUUGGCCACUGCAGCCUACCAGGGUCUGUCUGCUCAAUCCCCACCAUUCAGCCUUGGGAAACCUGUCCCCUCAUCUACACACCCCAGGUAUAAGAGAAUUAUAGCAGUCAAGGAAGACUUAUUCCACUCAGGAAACAAAAGGAAUCAACUCUCCAGCUCCUCACCCCACCCAAGACCCAAAGAGGACUUGCUCCACACUCAGAUAAUCAUCUGCCAUACAAAGACUGCAGGUUAUCCUCCCUGACAUCAUUACUAGUAGCAAAGAAUGCAAAAGGACCCUCCUUCUAUCACUGCUGCUGUGAGGAGUUAUGAGGUAAGGAGAAAUCAUGAGGAACUUCAGAAGGAAACAGGAGUGUUGAGAAAUACUGCAACAGAGAGUUGAUGGUGAAUGAAGAGAUGCCCUUGGAAGGAAAAAGAGUAUGGAAUUCAUGUUUUUAGUUGCAGAGAGGAUAUUGUAGAGGUGAGAGGGGGUAUUGUUAUAUCUGGGAAUAUUAUAUAUGUCACUAGAUGAGACGUGACUUUUGAGGGAGCCUCCUGUUAACAGUUUGGCAGAACAUGAUUGUUUUAUGCUGUGGAAUAACAUCACAAUGCUUGCCAGAAGUUACUGGGUUUUUCUUUAACAUCUGGACAAAAACAGUUAAAAUAAUUUUGCUCCAAGCCUUGCAAGCAGGUUAUUGGUGGUGGGGGGUCUCUACAUAGUAAUUUUUUAGAUUUUUUUAUGGCCUGGGUCUACAAAGCCUUGUCAUUUAAAAGUUCUAACACUGUAUUAUUGAAGUGCUGUAAUUUUACAAAGACUAGCUAAUUCUGAAUGUCUGAUUAUAGAUGGGCAAAUAUUAACAAUUUCUGUCCAACAGAGUUUACUAGUUAAAUGUAUUAUUCCAGCACCACAUUUCUCCCACAUUUCAAAAGUUGUAAUAGCCAGAUUUUAAACAGAUUUUCUGAAAAGAAAAUCAUUCAUGUAAGUGGAGCUACAAGCUACUAUUUUAUGACUGAAUGUUGCCAAUCUAAUAUCACAUUGCAGCAGGUCAAAAUGUAAAAAGAAUGGCAUUUCCACUGCAAGAAAAUCUCUGCAUGAAAGUGAUUUUACUGAAAUUUGUAUAGUUAUGCAACUGGACAGCUGCAUUUGUCUUGUCUUGUCAUGAUACCAUAUUAUAGGCAAGGUCAGUGGGAAUGUUUAUUGUUAAGGUUGCCUGACGCUUCCCAUUAUAAGAUCCUGUGUACAGUUGCUUAUAAUUUUGCCAAAAUUUGGGCUGAAAUUUUACAUUCUGUGUCUCUGACUCAAACAAUCUUUGGGGGAGCCGGUGUGGGAAGGAGAAAUGAGGUUUUGGGGGUACGACUGGAAGAUGGGGAGAAAGGAGAAAGAUUCAACAGGGAAUUGGGAGGGUGGAACUGGGUCUGAGCAAGGAGACUGGGACACAGAGUGAUAGUAGGAGCUUGGGAUUCAGACAGAGGAGAGACUAAGACUAUCUGGACAAAGAUACUGGGACAAGGAGAGAAGAGUGGGGAAGAAAUUGGACUGAAACAGGAACAGGUAGGAAGGGAUGGGGCACAUGGUGCCAACCUUUGGGGUAACACGGCCCAAACAAACUCCCCUCCAGAGCCAUGACUGUUAGAGAACAUUCAGUUCCAGAGCCUGGAAUGGGACCCAAGAUUCUUAAGUCUCACCUUCCUUAGCUUUAUCAAUAUUUUUGAAACCCUGUAACAAAAGAUGUUUCAUCUGCCCUUAGUGUUGGUCCAGAUAGAGAAUGAAUUACUCCAUUAGCUCAAGUGACAGAGGACUGUGCAGUGGAUCUGGAGGUGCUAACUUUGCUGAUGCCCCCAUGUCAAUAUGAUGUCAUGUGUUGGAAUUGGGUGGGGGUUAAGUUUGUUUUUAUAAAACCUAGGAAAUCACUUUACAAAAAAGUCAAUGUUAAAUAAACAAUAAAGAUUCAAUUUCAAACCCUCAAAAUUAGGAAAUGCCAAAAUUAAGGCUGCCUGUGCAAUCUUAAUUCAGUCCCUUUGUGCAUAUGCAUUUUGAUAUGGUCUGUAAUUACAUUAUGUAAUUUAGACUUCACUAAGAAGGGAGCAUUACUGUAGCUGUGGAUCUUAGAGAGAAAUUGAAACACAGGUGGAAUUAGAAUAUUGCAGAUGGCAUCAGCACUGAAUAAAGGACUUUAAACAAAGAAUGAAUGGAACUAUGCUGAAUUUAUGAGAGAUGACAAGAAGGAUUCCAGAUGGUUUAAUGUUGAUUCCAGUUCUUAUUUUAUUAUGGAGGGGAACUAGUCUCUCCAUAAUUAAUGAUUGAGUUAGCUCCCUAUUAAUUUUUUUCAACACCCACAU